rnacentral:lncRNA from 1 species
CAUGUCCGGUGGCGACGUGCAAAAUUGGCGGCAAAAAACAUCUUGCAAUGUGGUGGAGUCGCGGUUCCUCUCUUGUCAGUCCCCGAUACACCGUUCUGUCAACAAUUAAGAUGUGAUGGAUAUUCAGAGCUACUAAGGUUCGUCGUAGUUUUACCGUUUGGUCUCGAUUUAGUAAUCAGUCAGUUUAGGACAGGUUUUCAACAGGUUGUGGGUUUAUUUUUGUGACUUCCCUCUUAGUUAAAUUAGUUUGUGUAGUUUAG